AGCCACAGUAGCGGUCCAUCUCUUCAUUAUCCUUAUACCACGUCACCUCUGGCUGCGGGUAACCUGUCACUAUGCACGUGAAUUUAGCAUCAGAGUCCUCGGACACAGAACGAGAUUUGAUAGUGGUUUCAAAUAGUGGCUGGGUUUCCUCCGUCAGCUGGGAAAUGAUUGCGCAGAAGGUGCUCCUUCCUAAACUGGAGAGAGAGAAUCUGCUGCUUGAUAAGCUGUUCUGGGGUCGGAUGCUAAGCAGAUAGCUGCGCCGGUCGGGCCGCGAGGCCCAGGCCGCGCUUUCCGCCUCCUCCGCCCCCUCCACGCUGCCCCUCCGCUGAGGCGGCGACGUCCGCCCGUUGCCCGCGUACGAGUCGCUGAGGGCCCGGCGCGGCGAGCCCAUGGUGGCGGCCGGGCUGCGGCUGCCCCUGCCCGCCGCGCCGCUGCCGGCCCUGUCAAUCACCUCCG
rnacentral:lncRNA from 1 species